rnacentral:rRNA from 1 species
CCUACGGGAGGCAGCAGUAGGGAAUAUUGCUCAAUGGGGGAAACUCUGAAGCAGCAACGCAGCGUGGAGGAUGAAUGUUUUCUGAUUGUUAACUCCUUUUGUUAGAGAAGAUAAUGACGGUAUCUAACGAAUAAGCACCGGCUAACUCCGUGCCAGCAGCCGCGGUAAUACGGAGGGUGCAAGCGUUAUUCGGAAUCACUGGGCGUAAAGAGCGCGUAGGCGGGUUAGCAAGUCAGAUGUGAAAUCCUAUGGCUUAACCAUAGAACUGCAUUUGAAACUGUUAUUCUAGAGUAUAGGAGAGGUAGGUGGAAUUCUUGGUGUAGGGGUAAAAUCCGUAGAGAUCAAGAGGAAUACUCAUUGCGAAGGCGACCUGCUAGAACAUAACUGACACUGAUGCGCGAAAGCGUGGGGAGCAAACAGGAUUAGAUACCCGGGUAGUC